CGGCCGAUCAAGUCCGUCGGGAAAUCCAUUGGCCCAACCAAUGGGCGACCGGCGGAAACUGAUCGGCUUGGGACCGGAAGACCCGAGGGGUACGUCCGGGGUAGGAGUGAAAUCCCGUAAUCCUGGACGGACCGCCGGUGGCGAAAGCGCCUCGGGAAGACGGAUCCGACGGUGAGGGACGAAAGCUAGGGUCUCGAACCGGAUUAGAUACCCGGGUAGUCCUAGCCGUAAACGAUGGCCGCUAGGUGUGGCGCAGGCUACGAGCCUGCGCUGUGCCGUAGGGAAGCCGUGAAGCGGCCCGCCUGGGAA
rnacentral:rRNA from 1 species